rnacentral:rRNA from 1 species
AGAGUUUGAUCAUGGCUCAGGAUGAACGCUGGCGGCGUGCCUAACACAUGCAAGUCGUACGAUCUUCCCCUGAUUGAAGCUUCGGCUGAUUUCGGGGAUCGAGAUAGUGGCGAACUGGUGAGUAACACAUGGGUAACCUGCCGUUCGGAUCGGGAUAGCAGCUGGAAACGGCUGGUAAUACCGUAUAACCUCCCCUGGUCGCAUGGCAAGGGGAUUAAAGAUGGCCUAUCCUUGGAAGCUAUCACCGGAUGAGGGGCCCGUGGCUCAUUAGCUAGUUGGUGGGGUAACGGCCUACCAAGGCUACGAUGGGUAGCUGGUUUGAGAGGACGACCAGUCACACUGGGACUGAGAUACGGCCCAGACUCCUACGGGAGGCAGCAGUGAGGAAUUUUCCGCAAUGGACGCAAGUCUGACGGAGCGACGCCGCGUGGGUGAAGAAGGUUUUCGGAUCGUAAAGCCCUGUCAGGGGGGAAGAACCCCUGCUUUGUUAAUAAUGAAGCAGACUGACGGUACCCCCAAAGGAAGCACCGGCCAACUACGUGCCAGCAGCCGCGGUAAUACGUAGGGUGCAAGCGUUAUCCGGAAUCACUGGGCGUAAAGAGCUCGUAGGCGGUUGGAUUAGUCACAUGUUAAAGACCCAGGCUCAACUUGGGGGAUGCGUGUGAUACUGUCCAGCUAGAGGACGGGAGAGGUAAGCGGAAUUCCUGGUGUAGCGGUGAAAUGCAUAGAUAUCAGGAAGAACACCAGUGGCGAAGGCGGCUUACUGGACCGUUCCUGACGCUGAGGAGCGAAAGCUAGGGGAGCGAACGGGAUUAGAUACCCCGGUAGUCCUAGCUGUAAACGAUGGGCACUAGGUGUGGGGGGUAUCGACCCCUUCCGUGCCGAAGUUAACGCAUUAAGUGCCCCGCCUGGGGAGUACGGUCGCAAGAUUAAAACUCAAAGGAAUUGACGGGGACCCGCACAAGCGGUGGAGCAUGUGGUUUAAUUCGACGCAACGCGAAGAACCUUACCUGGAUUUGACAUCUGAGGACUCCGCUGGAAACAGGGGAGUGCCCUCCGGGGAAUCUCAAGACAGGUGCUGCAUGGCUGUCGUCAGCUCGUGCCGUGAUGUGUUGGAUUAAGUUCCGCAACGAGCGCAACCCCUAUCCUUAUUUGCCAUCAUUAAGUUGGGGACUAUAAGGAAACUGCCAGUUUAUGACUGGAGGAAGGUGGGGAUGACGUCAAGUCAGCAUGGCCUUUAUAUCCAGGGCUACACACGUGCUACAAUGGCCGGUACAACGGGUUGCAACACCGCGAGGUGAAGCGAAUCUCUUAAAGCCGGUCCCAGUUCGGGUUGGAGUCUGCAAUUCGACUCCAUGAAGUUGGAAUCGCUAGUAACGGCGGAUCAGCACGCCGCCGUGAAUACGUUCUCGGGUCUUGUACACACCGCCCGUCACACCAUCCGAGUCUGGUGCACCCGAAGUCGCUGACCUAACCCCUAUGGGGAUGGAGGUGCCUAAGGUGUGCCCGGUAAGGAGGGUGAAGUCGUAACAAGGUA